rnacentral:tRNA from 1 species
GUCUUCGUAGUACAACUAUAAUACCUCGGUCUUGUAAACCGAAAAUGGGGUAAAUAGCCCCCUUAGACU